rnacentral:rRNA from 1 species
UACAGAGGUCCCAAGCGUUGUUCGGAUUCACUGGGCGUAAAGGGUGCGUAGGUGGUGGGGUAAGUCGGAUGUGAAAUCUCCGAGCUCAACUCGGAAACUGCAUUGGAAACUACCCUGCUAGAGGGUCGGAGGGGGGACUGGAAUACUUGGUGUAGCAGUGAAAUGCGUAGAUAUCAAGUGGAAUACCGGUGGCGAAAGCGACUCUCUGGACGGCAACUGACGCUGAGGCACGAAAGCGUGGGGAGCAAACAGG